UGGGGAAUUUUGGACAAUGGGCGAAAGCCUGAUCCAGCCAUGCCGCGUGAGUGAAGAAGGCCUUCGGAUUGUAAAGCUCUUUUAGUCGGAAAGAAAGAGUCGCAAUGAAUAAUUGUGAUUUAUGACGGUACCGACAGAAAAAGCACCGGCUAACUACGUGCCAGCAGCCGCGGUAAUACGUAGGGUGCGAGCGUUAAUCGGAAUUACUGGGCGUAAAGGGUGCGCAGGCGGUUUUGCAAGUCAGAUGUGAAAGCCCCGGGCUUAACCUGGGAAUUGCGUUUGAAACUACAAGGCUAGAGUGCAGCAGAGGGGAGUGGAAUUCCAUGUGUAGCAGUGAAAUGCGUAGAGAUGUGGAAGAACACCGAUGGCGAAGGCAGCUCCCUGGGUUGACACUGACGCUCAUGCACGAAAGCGUGGGGAGCAAACA
rnacentral:rRNA from 1 species